UACGAAGGGGGCUAGCGUUGCUCGGAAUCACUGGGCGUAAAGGGUGCGUAGGCGGGUCUUUAAGUCAGGGGUGAAAUCCUGGAGCUCAACUCCAGAACUGCCUUUGAUACUGAGGAUCUUGAGUUCGGGAGAGGUGAGUGGAACUGCGAGUGUAGAGGUGAAAUUCGUAGAUAUUCGCAAGAACACCAGUGGCGAAGGCGGCUCACUGGCCCGAUACUGACGCUGAGGCACGAAAGUGUGGGGAGCAAACAGG
rnacentral:rRNA from 1 species